CCUACGGGAGGCAGCAGUGGGGAAUAUUGCACAAUGGGGGAAAACCCUGAUGCAGCGACGCCGCGUGGAGGAAGAAGGUCUUCGGAUUGUAAACUCCUGUUGUUGAGGAAGAUAAUGACGGUACUCAACAAGGAAGUGACGGCUAACUACGUGC
rnacentral:rRNA from 1 species